rnacentral:rRNA from 1 species
AAUAGAUACCCUGGUAGUCCACGCCGUAAACGAUGAGUGCUAAGUGUUAGAGGGUUUCCGCCCUUUAGUGCUGCAGCUAACGCAUUAAGCACUCCGCCUGGGGAGUACGGCCGCAAGGCUGAAACUCAAAGGAAUUGACGGGGGCCCGCACAAGCGGUGGAGCAUGUGGUUUAAUUCGAAGCAACGCGAAGAACCUUACCAGGUCUUGACAUCCUCUGCCAACCCUAGAGAUAGGGCGUUCCCCUUCGGGGGACAGAGUGACAGGUGGUGCAUGGUUGUCGUCAGCUCGUGUCGUGAGAUGUUGGGUUAAGUCCCGCAACGAGCGCAACCCUUGAUCUUAGUUGCCAGCAUUUAGUUGGGCACUCUAAGGUGACUGCCGGUGACAAACCGGAGGAAGUGGGGAUGACGUCAAAUCAUCAUGCCCCUUAUGACCUGGGCUACACACGUGCUACAAUGGAUGGUACAAAGAGCUGCGAACCCGCGAGGGUAAGCGAAUCUCAUAAAGCCAUUCUCAGUUCGGA